UUGACCUCGGAUCAGGUAGGGAUACCCGCUGAACUUAAGCAUAUCAAUAAGCGGAGGAAAAGAAACCAACAGGGAUUGCCUCAGUAACGGCGAGUGAAGCGGCAAGAGCUCAAAUUUGAAAG
rnacentral:rRNA from 1 species